GACGAACGCUGGCGGCGUGCUUAACACAUGCAAGUCGAACGGUAAGGCCCUUCGGGGUACACGAGUGGCGAACGGGUGAGUAACACGUGGGCGAUCUGCCCUGCACUUCGGGAUAAGCCUGGGAAACUGGGUCUAAUACCGGAUAGGACCCUGGGAUGCAUGUCCUGGGGUGGAAAGCUUUUGCGGUGUGGGAUGGGGCCGCGGCCUUUCAGAUUGUUGGUGGGGUGAUGGCCUACCAAGGCGACGACGGGUAGCCGGCCUGAGAGGGUGACCGGCCACACUGGGACUGAGAUACGGCCCAGACUCCUACGGGAGGCAGCAGUGGGGAAUAUUGCACAAUGGGCGCAAGCCUGAUGCAGCGACGCCGCGUGAGGGAUGACGGCCUUCGGGUUGUAAACCUCUUUCAGCACCGACGAAGCGCAAGUGACGGUAGGUGCAGAAGAAGGACCGGCCAACUACGUGCCAGCCGCCGCCGUAA
rnacentral:rRNA from 1 species